rnacentral:rRNA from 1 species
ACGGAGGAUCCAAGCGUUAUCCGGAUUUACUGGGUUUAAAGGGUGCGUAGGCGGAUUGAUAAGUCAGUGGUGAAAGCCUACAGCUUAACUGUAGAACUGCCAUUGAUACUGCCAGUCUGGAGUAUGGUUGAGGUAGCUGGAAUGUGUCAUGUAGCGGUGAAAUCCGUAGAGAUGAGGCAGAACACCGAUGGCGAAGGCAGCCUACUAGACCAUUACUGACGCUGAGGUACGAAAGCGUGGGGAUCAAACAG